rnacentral:misc_RNA from 1 species
GUCUCCGUAGGUGAACCUGCGGAGGGAUCAUUACAGAGUUCAUGCCCUACCGGGUAGAUCUCCCACCCUAUGUUAUUAUUACUUUGUUGCUUUGGCGGGCCGUUAGGCUCCGGCCCGACUACCGGCCCCGGCUGGUAAGCGCCCGCCAGAGGACCCAAAACCCUGAAUAUUAGUGUCGUCUGAGUACUAUAUAAUAGUUAAAACUUUCAACAACGGAUCUCUUGGUUCUG